AAUAUUCAGAGUUUGAUCCUAGCUCAGGAUGAACGCUGGCGACGUGGAUUAGGCAUGCAAGUCAAGGGGGCCGCAAGGCAACCGGCAGACGAGGUAGUAUAACGCAGGUACGCACCGAAAAGUCGGGCAUAGCUAGCCGAAAGGUUAGGUAAUUCCCGAUGGUGAGGCAACUCUAAAGGAGUAAUCCGCUUUUUGAGCGGCCUGCGCAGCAUCAGUUAGUUGGUAGGGUAACGGCCUACCAAGACUAUGACGCUUAGAAGAGCUGAGAGGCUGACCUUCACCGAUAGCACUGAGACACGGGCUAUACAUCUACGGAUGGCUGCAGUCGAGAAUCUUCCACAAUGGACGAAAGUCUGAUGGAGCGACGUCGCGUGACUGAUGAAGUCCUUCGGGACGUAAAGGUCUUUUAUGGGGGAGGAAGUAAUUGACGUUACCCCAUGAAUAAGGGGCUCCUAACUCUGUGCCAGCAGGAGCGGUAAUACAGAGGCCCCAAGCGUUAUCCGGAAUCACUGGGCGUAAAGGGUGUGUAGGCGGUUAUGUUAGUCUUUUGUUAAAGCUUUCUGGCUUAACCAGGAAAAUGCAGGAGAAACGGCAUGACUUAGAGGUCGCGAGAGGUAUACGGAACUCAUAGUGUAGGGGUGAAAUCCGUUGAUAUUAUGGGGAACACCAAAUGCGAAGGCAGUAUACUGGCGCGUACCUGACGCUGAAACACGAAAGCGUGGGAAUCGAACGGGAUUAGAUACCCCGGUAGUCCACGCCCUAAACGAUCACAACUAGUUUUGGGGAGUAUCGACCCUCUCCGAGACGAAGCUAACGCGAUAAGUUGUGCGCCUGGGUAGUACGAUCGCAAGAUUAAAACUCAAAGGAAUAGACGGGGACUUGCACAAGCGGUGGAUCAUGCGGCUCAAUUCGAUGGCAAACGAAGAACCUCACCAGGGUUUGAAACCCAACUGUAAGCCUUAGGAAACUUUGGCCCUCGCAAGACUGUUGGGCAGGUGAUGCAUGGUCGUCGUCAGUUCGUGGCUUGAGUUGUUCCCUUCAGUGGGGUAACGAACGCAACCCGCGUUGCCUGUUUUAUAUGUCAGGCGAGACUGCCCCCUCACGGGGGAGGAAGGUGCGGAUGACGCCAGAUCAGCAUGUCCCUCUGAUAUCCUGGGCUGCACGCAUGAUACAAUGCACGAGACAACGGGUCGCGACAGGGUAACCUUGAGCCAAUCCUUAUAAACUCGUGCUCAGUUCGGAUUGAGGUCUGCAACUCGACCUCAUGAAGCUGGAAUCGCUAGUAAUCGCAGGUCAGCUAUACUGCGGUGAAUACGUUCUCAAGUCUUGUACUCACCGCCCGUCAACUCAAGAGAGCCGGGAGUGCCCGAAGUCCGCCUAGCGCGGCCCACGGCAAGCUCGGUGAUAGGGAGUAAGUCGUAACAAGGCACGGGUAGCGGAAGCUGCUCGUGGAACAAUUCAAAU
rfam:Candidatus Adlerbacteria bacterium RIFOXYC1_FTLL_48_26 rifoxyc1_full_scaffold_1039, whole genome shotgun sequence.